CCUACGGGAGGCUGCAGUGGGGAAUAUUGGGCAAUGGGCGCAAGCCUGACCCAGCAACGCCGCGUGAAGGAAGAAGGCUUUCGGGUUGUAAACUUCUUUUCUCAGGGACGAAGAAAGUGACGGUACCUGAGGAAUAAGCCACGGCUAACUACGUGCCAGCAGCCGCGGUAAUACGUAGGUGGCAAGCGUUAUCCGGAUUUAUUGGGUGUAAAGGGCGUGUAGGCGGGAGCGCAAGUCAGAUGUGAAAACUCAGGGCUCAACCCUGAGCCUGCAUUUGAAACUGUGUUUCUUGAGUGCUGGGGAGGCAAUCGGAAUUCCGUGUGGAGCGGGGAAAGGCGUAGGUAUACGGAGGAACACCAGUGGCGAAGGCGGAUUGCUGGACAGUAACUGACGCUGAGGCGCGAAAGCGUGGGGAGCAAACAGGAUUAGAUACCCUUGUAGUC
rnacentral:rRNA from 1 species